CCCCACCCCUCCCAUAAAUAAGGACUGGUCCCUAACUGCAGGGAAAAUAUGUGCACUUCACAGAACAUUUAUAACAAUUCAUAAUUUAUUACUUUUGCCUCAGGCUGGGUAACCACAACAGAAGUUGCCAAAUAGGCCCUUUCAAGGUAGCUUGCGUGUCAGGCUCGAUGCUUGAAAUAGAGCCUGUUAUACCCUGUGAGCAAAGUCCUCUCGGAUUUCUUCUCGGCACGGCACGGAGAAGCGAGAGAGACUCUGCAGAACUUGUGUAUAAAUUCAUUUGAGCAUGUGUGAAGGUUGCUAAGCAACUGCCUAUUUCCCGGAAGAAGAUUUAAUAAGUAGUUUCCGGUUCGGAUCAAAACCGGUUAUAAAACUGGUAUCAAACCUGAAAUUACUCAUAAUUAUAAGUUUUUGGAUUGUCGGCUCCACAAAGAAUAUAUACAAGUUCUGCAGAGUCUCUCUCGUGCUGAGAAGAAAUACAUGAGGACUUUGCUCGCAGGGUAAGCCUGUUACUGAAGUCAAUAAAAAGUGGACAGUGAUUGGGAUGCACAAAAAUAACAACCAAUCAAAAUGGCGAUUGUUAAUU